rnacentral:misc_RNA from 1 species
AUUCUAAGCAUCCUCCAUGGCACAAUCUGAAUCCCUCUCUGCAGAAAUUGAGACACUGAGCCAGGUCUUGAGUCUGGUGGAGGCAUUUAGAGCUUUUGACUCGGAUAAUGAUGGCUUCAUUACGGUAGCUGAGCUUGGUGGAAUCCUGGGGUCACUCGGUUACAACGCUAGCGAACAAGAUGUGAGGGCAAUGAUGCAGCAGGGAGACACAAACAAAGAUGGUUUGCUAAGCAUACAAGAGUUCUUAGAGAUGUACACCAAGGAUAUGGAACUUGGUGAACUUGCAAACUCUCUGAAGCUCUCAACAGUCAACACUGAUGGUGAUGAGGUUGUGACUGCAGACGAGUUAUAUGAAGUAACAAAGAAUAAUGGGGGAUUAGAAUUGUCUUUAGAGGAUUGCCAGAAUAUUAUUGCUUCUAUGGAUGGGGAUGGAGAUGGCGUUGUUAGUAUUCAAGACUUCAAUCUUAUAGUCAAUUCUCUCAUCUAGUUUCCAUUCCAAGUCUUAGUGUCUACUACUAAUUAAUAAUUACAAUCUGCGCUGCAAUGGGACUUUAAUUAAUAAAAUUUCUGAGAGAAAUAAGCAUGUACUAAUUUCUAAAUAAAUAAGCUCUACUUGUUCGUCCCUUUUGUUGCUUUAUCUGUGAUUAAUUGUUCAGGUUUGUAUUGCCUUCCUCAUGUUAGCUCAAAAUAACUAGUAAGCCUUCUUGUUUCAAAUCGAAUUAAA